UGGGGAAUAUUGGACAAUGGGCGAAAGCCUGAUCCAGCCAUGCCGCGUGUGUGAAGAAGGUCUUCGGAUUGUAAAGCACUUUAAGUUGGGAGGAAGGGCAGUUACCUAAUACGUGAUUGUUUUGACGUUACCGACAGAAUAAGCACCGGCUAACUCUGUGCCAGCAGCCGCGGUAAUACAGAGGGUGCAAGCGUUAAUCGGAAUUACUGGGCGUAAAGCGCGCGUAGGUGGUUUGUUAAGUUUGAUGUGAAAUCCCCGGGCUCAACCUGGGAACUGCAUUCAAAACUGACUGACUAGAGUAUGGUAGAGGGUGGUGGAAUUUCCUGUGUAGCGGUGAAAUGCGUAGAUAUAGGAAGGAACACCAGUGGCGAAGGCGACCACCUGGACUAAUACUGACACUGAGGUGCGAAAGCGUGGGGAGCAAACA
rnacentral:rRNA from 1 species